UCAAAACAUUUGAACGGAAAUAGAAACAAAAUGAAAUGAAAAAGAAAAUAAUGUGAGAUAACAUGAGCAAUUGAGUUUGAAUUAUAAUAAUUUGCAUAGGAUUUUAUUCCAUAAAAUAACAACAUCUACAAAUAGUGCAUGUAUAUGGCUUCCCAGUGUUGUUUUGUUUUGUUCUGUGGCCGUGUAUUUUAUUUUCAAUUAUUCCUCGCCAGCGAACAUUUUUGUACAUUACAUAGAAAACUCAUCAACUGGGGCGUUAUUAGUUCUGAUUCACAGAUUAAACUGUCAACUGGCAUGUAAAAAUAAUUCGUUUUAUCUAUUUGUGUGAAAUAUUUUGCAAUCAUAGCAAAAAACCAAACUAUUUUGACGAUUUUGUGUUAUAUGUAAAAACUAGUAAUGACUCUACGUUGCGAUGGUACUGCAUUUAAUAAAUACGAAGACUUGACACCACCAGCUUUGAGCUAUAUACUCGUAGACAUUCGACUCGAGAGGGGCCGGUAACAAAUGAUAUUUCUAAAGAAGAGGCUAGCAAACGGUUUUCAUUGUCGAUAGAGACCGAUGCACAAAUUAAUCAACGAAAUGCUAGUGAAAUUCCAAAUGUUAAUUCAUCUGUAAUUUCAAUUAUAAGCAGUGGUCGAUCAACAAAUACCCAAGCAACUUUGACAAAAUUAAAACCAAAGCGCAAAAGAUCUACUUUGGGCAGUGUUUUGACUGAUAAAACUGAUACCAAUUCCAAAAUAAACCACUUAAAGGGACACAAUGCACUCACUUCAUCGUUUUUGCGAAGGAAGCGUAAUGAAUAUACAGGUGUGUGUAGUAUCAUUUAAAAAACCCGCUUAAAACAAUAAUUAUCAAACUGUCAUUCACUAGAAUGAUUGAACACGGUUUCUAAUUUUUUUCAAGGUUGUUGCCUAGUAUUAUCAUGAUUUUGGUCAACUCGGCAGCAGCAAAAAUCAAGUUUUUUUUUUUUU